CCUGCUGUUCCGUCAGCAGUAGCCUAUGGGGACGUGCGAUAUUAAGUAAUGAAUUCGUGCGAUAACAGAACCAACAACGAAGCCCUUCCGAAAGGAGAAGCUUGAAGCGUGAGUGGAGAGCAACUGCCGUUAGUAUCGAAUGGCAUGG
rnacentral:ncRNA from 1 species